rfam:Pelecanus crispus contig5574, whole genome shotgun sequence.
CUUUUGGUUGUUUUCACAACCACCACUUUUAAAAACUACGCUUAAU